GACGAACGCUGGCGGCGUGCUUAACACAUGCCAGUCGAACGGUGAAGGGACCAGCUUGCUGGUUCUGGAUGAGUGGCGAACGGGUGAGUAACACGUGAGUAACCUGCCCCCUUCUUCUGGAUAACCGCAUGAAAGUGUGGCUAAUACGGGAUAUUCUGGGUCUGUCGCAUGGCGGGCCCGGGAAAGAUAUUGCUUCGGUGGGGGAUGGGCUCGCGGCCUAUCAGCUUGUUGGUGGGGUGAUGGCCUACCAAGGCGGUGACGGGUAGCCGGCCUGAGAGGGUGGACGGUCACACUGGGACUGAGACACGGCCCAGACUCCUACGGGAGGCAGCAGUGGGGAAUAUUGCACAAGGGGCGCAAGCCUGAUGCAGCGACGCCGCGUGAGGGAGGGAGGCCUUCGGGUUGUAAACCUCUUUCGCCAGUGAAGCAGGCCUGCUCCUUGUGGGUGGGUUGACGGUAGCUGGAUAAGAAGCGCCGGCUAACUACGUG
rnacentral:rRNA from 1 species